AACGAACGCUGGCGGCAUGCCUAACACAUGCAAGUCGAACGAGACCUUCGGGUGUAGUGGCGCACGGGUGCGUAACGCGUGGGAACCUGCCCUUAGGUUCGGAAUAACUCCCCGAAAGGGGUGCUAAUACCGGAUAAUGUCUUCGGACCAAAGAUUUAUCGCCUUUGGAUGGGCCAGCGUUGGAUUAGCUAGUUGGUAGGGUAAAAGCCUACCAAGGCGACGAUCAAUAGCUGGUCUGAGAGGAUGAUCAGCCACACUGGGACUGAGACACGGCCCAGACUCCUACGGGAGGCAGCAGUGGGGAAUAUUGGACAAUGGGCGAAAGCCUGAUCCAUCAAUGCCGCGUGAGUGAUGAAGGCCUUAGGGUUGUAAAGCUCUUUUACCCGGGAUGAUAAUGACAGUACCGGGAGAAUAAGCUCCGGCUAACUCCGUG
rnacentral:rRNA from 1 species